CCAGGCGGCACCUCCCUGAGUGUGUUCGAUGUCAUCUGAUCUUGGAGGCUAAGUAGGGUUAGGCCUGGUUAGUACUUGGAUGGGAGAACAAGGGCUGGGAACGGUCACCGCUUGAU
rnacentral:rRNA from 1 species